rnacentral:ribozyme from 1 species
GAACAGGCACCACUACUCCUUCACGCACUCCCCAAAAGCCCCCAAGUCCUCCAUUCCCGGCUACAAUAAAUGAGGAGGUUUGAGGAAGAUCCCAAAAAAAAAAAUGCGUUUGAUCGUCGUCAUCAAGCAAGUUCGUGACUUGUUUU